CAUAGGUUUGGUCCCAGCGUUCCUGUUGACUCUUAAUAAACUUACACAUGCAAGCAUCUACACCCCAGUGAGAAUGCCCUCUAGGUUGUUAAAACUAAGAGGAGCUGGCAUCAAGCACACACCCCGUAGCUCACGACGCCUUGCUUAACCACACCCCCACGGGAAACAGCAGUGACAAAAAUUAAGCCAUAAACGAAAGUUUGACUAAGUUAUAUUAAUCAGGGUUGGUAAAUCUCGUGCCAGCCACCGCGGUCAUACGAUUAACCCAAGCCAACAGGAAUACGGCGUAAAACGUGUUAAAGCACCACAUCAAAUAGGGUUAAAUUUUAAUUAAGCUGUAAAAAGCCAUGAUUAAAAUAAAAAUAAAUGACGAAAGUAACCCUACAACAGCCGAUGCACUAUAGCUAAGACCCAAACUGGGAUUAGAUACCCCACUAUGCUUAGCCCUAAACACAGAUAAUUACAUAAACAAAAUUA
rnacentral:rRNA from 1 species